AUGUCUCAUUUUUGGUGGGGGACGAGGACAAUCAGAAGCAGAUACAUUGGAUGGCUUGGUGGAAAACGUGUGUACCCAGAAAAUCAAGGGGAGGGAGGGAUUAUGGGAUAUUCAUUGUUUCAACUAGCAAUGUUGGCAAAACAAGUGUGGCGUAUUCUUGGGAAUCCAGAAUACUUAUGUGCGACCAUGUUGAGAGCUAAAUAUUUCCCAAAUGGUGAUUUAUUGAAUACAAAGAUAAAGAAGAGUUCUUCUUUCACUUGGCAAAGCAUUAUGGCGGGGGUUAAUUGUCUAAAUCAUGGUUAUAUUUGGCGUGUUGGAAAUGGUCACAAUAUUGAUAUUUGGUAAGAUGCUUGCCUCCCGAAUUGUGCAAAUAGAAAAGUAAUCUCACGUAGAGGGAGUAAUUUGAUUCCAAGGGUAUUUGAUUUAAUUGAUCCUAUUACUAGUAAUUGGGAUGAAAAUUUGGUGAUACAAAUAUCGUGGCCAGUUGAUGCAUAGAGGGUCCUUGCAAUUCCUUUGCCCCAACAUGACAUGCUGGACUUUGUCGCUUGGAGCUAUUCAAAGAAUCGAGCAUUUUCUGUUCGAUUAACCUAUGCAGUAUAA
rnacentral:rRNA from 1 species